CAGCCGCCGCGGUAAUACGUAGGGUGCAAGCGUUAAUCGGAAUUACUGGGCGUAAAGCGUGCGCAGGCGGUUAUAUAAGACAGAUGUGAAAUCCCCGGGCUCAACCUGGGAACUGCAUUUGUGACUGUAUAGCUAGAGUACGGCAGAGGGGGAUGGAAUUCCGCGUGUAGCAGUGAAAUGCGUAGAUAUGCGGAGGAACACCGAUGGCGAAGGCAAUCCCCUGGGCCAGUACUGACGCUCAUGCACGAAAGCGUGGGGAGCAAACAGGAUUAGAUACCCGAGUAGUCCCUGUCUCUUAUAC
rnacentral:rRNA from 1 species